rnacentral:rRNA from 1 species
CCUACGGGAGGCAGCAGUGGGGAAUAUUGCACAAUGGGCGCAAGCCUGAUGCAGCCAUGCCGCGUGUAUGAAGAAGGCCUUCGGGUUGUAAAGUACUUUCAGCGGGGAGGAAGGGAGUAAAGUUAAUACCUUUGCUCAUUGACGUUACCCGCAGAAGAAGCACCGGCUAACUCCGUGCCAGCAGCCGCGGUAAUACGGAGGGUGCAAGCGUUAAUCGGAAUUACUGGGCGUAAAGCGCACGCAGGCGGUUUGUUAAGUCAGAUGUGAAAUCCCCGGGCUCAACCUGGGAACUGCAUCUGAUACUGGCAAGCUUGAGUCUCGUAGAGGGGGGUAGAAUUCCAGGUGUAGCGGUGAAAUGCGUAGAGAUCUGGAGGAAUACCGGUGGCGAAGGCGGCCCCCUGGACGAAGACUGACGCUCAG